rnacentral:rRNA from 1 species
UUAAGCGACUAAGCGUACACGGUGGAUGCCCUGGCAGUCAGAGGCGAUGAAGGACGUGCUAAUCUGCGAAAAGCGUCGGUAAGGUGAUAUGAACCGUUAUAACCGGCGAUGUCCGAAUGGGGAAACCCAGUGCAAUUCGUUGCACUAUCGUUAACUGAAUACAUAGGUUAACGAGGCGAACCGGGGGAACUGAAACAUCUAAGUACCCCGAGGAAAAGAAAUCAACCGAGAUUCCCCCAGUAGCGGCGAGCGAACGGGGAGCAGCCCAGAGUCUGAAUCAGCUUGUGUGUUAGUGGAACGGUCUGGAAAGUCCGACGGUACAGGGUGAUAGUCCCGUACACCAAAAUGCACAGGUUGUGAACUCGAAGAGUAGGGCGGGACACGUGGUAUCCUGUCUGAAUAUGGGGGGACCAUCCUCCAAGGCUAAAUACUCCUGACUGACCGAUAGUGAACCAGUACCGUGAGGGAAAGGCGAAAAGAACCCCGGCGAGGGGAGUGAAAAAGAACCUGAAACCGUGUACGUACAAGCAGUGGGAGCACCUUCGGGUGUGACUGCGUACCUUUUGUAUAAUGGGUCAGCGACUUAUAUUCUGUAGCAAGGUUAACCGUAUAGGGGAGCCGCAGGGAAACCGAGUCUUAACUGGGCGUUAAGUUGCAGGGUAUAGACCCGAAACCCGGUGAUCUAGCCAUGGGCAGGUUGAAGGUUGGGUAACACUAACUGGAGGACCGAACCGACUAAUGUUGAAAAAUUAGCGGAUGACUUGUGGCUGGGGGUGAAAGGCCAAUCAAACCGGGAGAUAGCUGGUUCUCCCCGAAAGCUAUUUAGGUAGCGCCUCGUGAACUCAUCUUCGGGGGUAGAGCACUGUUUCGGCUAGGGGGUCAUCCCGACUUACCAACCCGAUGCAAACUACGAAUACCGAAGAAUGUUAUCACGGGAGACACACGGCGGGUGCUAACGUCCGUCGUGAAGAGGGAAACAACCCAGACCGCCAGCUAAGGUCCCAAAGUCAUGGUUAAGUGGGAAACGAUGUGGGAAGGCACAGACAGCCAGGAUGUUGGCUUAGAAGCAGCCAUCAUUUAAAGAAAGCGUAAUAGCUCACUGGUCGAGUCGGCCUGCGCGGAAGAUGUAACGGGGCUAAACCAUGCACCGAAGCUGCGGCAGCGACACUAUGUGUUGUUGGGUAGGGGAGCGUUCUGUAAGCCUGCGAAGGUGUCCUGUGAGGCAUGCUGGAGGUAUCAGAAGUGCGAAUGCUGACAUAAGUAACGAUAAAGCGGGUGAAAAGCCCGCUCGCCGGAAGACCAAGGGUUCCUGUCCAACGUUAAUCGGGGCAGGGUGAGUCGACCCCUAAGGCGAGGCCGAAAGGCGUAGUCGAUGGGAAACAGGUUAAUAUUCCUGUACUUGGUGUUACUGCGAAGGGGGGACGGAGAAGGCUAUGUUAGCCGGGCGACGGUUGUCCCGGUUUAAGCAUGUAGGCUGNCGAUUGACGUUACCCGCAGAAGAAGCACCGGCUAACUCCGUGCCAGCAGCCGCGGUAAUACGGAGGGUGCAAGCGUUAAUCGGAAUUACUGGGCGUAAAGCGCACGCAGGCGGUCUGUCAAGUCGGAUGUGAAAUCCCCGGGCUCAACCUGGGAACUGCAUUCGAAACUGGCAGGCUAGAGUCUUGUAGAGGGGGGUAGAAUUCCAGGUGUAGCGGUGAAAUGCGUAGAGAUCUGGAGGAAUACCGGUGGCGAAGGCGGCCCCCUGGACAAAGACUGACGCUCAGGUGCGAAAGCGUGGGGAGCAAACAGGAUUAGAUACCCUGGUAGUCCACGCCGUAAACGAUGUCGAUUUGGAGGUUGUGCCCUUGAGGCGUGGCUUCCGGAGCUAACGCGUUAAAUCGACCGCCUGGGGAGUACGGCCGCAAGGUUAAAACUCAAAUGAAUUGACGGGGGCCCGCACAAGCGGUGGAGCAUGUGGUUUAAUUCGAUGCAACGCGAAGAACCUUACCUGGUCUUGACAUCCACAGAACUUAGCAGAGAUGCUUUGGUGCCUUCGGGAACUGUGAGACAGGUGCUGCAUGGCUGUCGUCAGCUCGUGUUGUGAAAUGUUGGGUUAAGUCCCGCAACGAGCGCAACCCUUAUCCUUUGUUGCCAGCGGUCCGGCCGGGAACUCAAAGGAGACUGCCAGUGAUAAACUGGAGGAAGGUGGGGAUGACGUCAAGUCAUCAUGGCCCUUACGACCAGGGCUACACACGUGCUACAAUGGCAUAUACAAAGAGAAGCGACCUCGCGAGAGCAAGCGGACCUCAUAAAGUAUGUCGUAGUCCGGAUUGGAGUCUGCAACUCGACUCCAUGAAGUCGGAAUCGCUAGUAAUCGUAGAUCAGAAUGCUACGGUGAAUACGUUCCCGGGCCUUGUACACACCGCCCGUCACACCAUGGGAGUGGGUUGCAAAAGAAGUAGGUAGCUUAACCUUCGGGAGGGCGCUUACCACUUUGUGAUUCAUGACUGGGGUGAAGUCGUAACAAGGUAACCGUAGGGGAACCUGCGGUUGGAUCACCUCCUUACCUUAAAGAACCUGCCUUUGUAGUGCUCACACAGAUUGUCUGAUGAAAGUAAAGAAGCAAGGCGUCUUGCGAUUGAGACUUCAGUGUCCCCUUCGUCUAGAGGCCCAGGACACCGCCCUUUCACGGCGGUAACAGGGGUUCGAAUCCCCUAGGGGACGCCACUUGCUGGUUCGUGAGUGAAAGACGCGUGCCGAACUAUCUCAAAACUCAUCUUCGGGUGAUGUUUGAGA